GUAAGGAACCCUUCCCCUGGGGCUGAUCCCUGGCCGACAGUCGACCGUGGGGUGCCAGAGGGGGGCAGGAGCUCGGUGAGGCAUUUUCCCGGUUCUUUGUCAACCUUUGGCUUACUCCUGCGUGUCGGCAGUGGCCCACGCCCACAAUGGGGGGGCGCAAGCCCGGGACUUGCCACCAGUGCACCUCUCGGCGUCCGCGACUGGCCUCUCGGGGCCUUUCCGCGUGGGCUGAGUUGGUAGCCGGCAAGUACCUUGAGCAGACAUGUUGGGACCCGAAAGAUGGUGAACUAUGCUUGGCCAGGACGAAGCCAGAGGAAACUCUGGUGGAGGUCCGCCGCGAUUCUGACGUGCAAAUCGAUCGUCGGAGCUGAGUAUAGGGGCGAAAGACUAAUCGAACCAUCUAGUAGCUGGUUCCCUCCGAAGUUUCCCUCAGGAUAGCUGGUACUCCAGGGUAAUUUCAUCCGGUAAAGCGAAUGAUUAGAGGUCUUGGGGACGAAACGUCCUCAACCUAUU
rnacentral:rRNA from 1 species